rnacentral:rRNA from 1 species
UACGUAGGGUGCAAGCGUUGUCCGGAAUUAUUGGGCGUAAAGAGCUCGUAGGCGGUUUGUCGCGUCGGCUGUGAAAACCUGGGGCUCAACCCCGGGCCUGCAGCCGAUACGGGCAAACUAGAGUUCGGCAGGGGAGACUGGAAUUCCUGGUGUAGCGGUGAAAUGCGCAGAUAUCAGGAGGAACACCGGUGGCGAAGGCGGGUCUCUGGGCCGAUACUGACGCUGAGACGCGAAAGCGUGGGGAGCGAACAGG